GCCGGAGUAGCUCAAUGGCAGAGCAAUGCUUUCGUAAAGCAUAGGUUGGAGGUUCAAAUCCUCUCUCCGGCU
rnacentral:tRNA from 1 species